rnacentral:rRNA from 1 species
UACGUAGGGUGCAAGCGUUGUCCGGAAUUAUUGGGCGUAAAGGGCGUGUAGGCGGUCCGGUAAGUCCGCUGUGAAAGUCGGGGGCUCAACCCUCGAAUGCCGGUGGAUACUGUCGGCUAGAGUGCGGAAGAGGCGAGUGGAAUUCCUGGUGUAGAGGUGAAAUUCGUAGAUAUCAGGAGGAACACCGGUGGCGAAGGCGGCCAUCUGGACGACAACUGACGCUGAGAUGCGAAAGCGUGGGGAGCAAACAGG